UACAGAGGUCUCAAGCGUUGUUCGGAUUCAUUGGGCGUAAAGGGUGCGUAGGCGGCGUGGUAAGUCGGGUGUGAAAUCUCGGAGCUUAACUCCGAAACUGCAUUCGAUACUGCCGUGCUUGAGGACUGGAGAGGAGACUGGAAUUUACGGUGUAGCGGUGAAAUGCGUAGAUAUCGUAAGGAAGACCAGUGGCGAAGGCGGGUCUCUGGUCAGUUCCUGACGCUGAGGCACGAAGGCCAGGGGAGCAAACGGG
rnacentral:rRNA from 1 species